UCCUACUAAUUCAGAGGGGUCAAUUUUAUUUUGACCCACACACCAACUUGAUAAGUAUUUAACUGCAUCCAGUAGCCUUCCAUCACUGAAUUAAAAAUUUAGAUAGUCUGAUACUAAAGUACAGUGAGUUGCUUACAAAUCACCGUGGUAAUCUCAGAUCUAAGGGACACUUAUACCCAUACCCUUCAUGAGCUACUCUUGACAGCAGAGUACUCGAUAAAUGGUCAUGUUUGAUAUAAAUAUGCUCCUAUAUUCUAUCUGCUGCUAUACCAGUAUCUCCACACUCCUUG
rnacentral:lncRNA from 1 species